AAGGGACUCUACCCAACGGGUUGCUCCAAAAGCGUCUGAUAUUCCUAAAGCAUCUCCUCAGAUCCAGAAGGAAAGCAGAUCUACCCUCCCUGCUCUAAGAUGGCUCCAGGAUUGAACAACAUCCUGUUGGGUGACUUCUAUCAUCCAGAAGAUGACAACCUCCUCUUUGACUCCUUCUGUCAAUAUCCUGGGUGCUACCCACCACGUCAGCGUUAUGGCUGUUAUUAUCCUGGUGGUUACCCCCAAUAUCCUGGCUGUGUGAUGCCUUACCCCAAACAGUGGUGUGACCCCUACUAUCCCAAACAGUGGUGUGGCCCCUACUAUCGUCAAAAAGGCUGGGGCAACUGCUAUUCCCCAAAGCUCUACCCUGGUUGUGGCUGGCCAUGUUAAGCCCAGACACAACUCUGACCGAACAUCCAGGAAAGAAGACGCACGAUUCUGCCCCUCACACGAAUGAACUGACAGUGUUCAGAAAUGUUGAGCACACCAGAAACCUCGUUGCACAACCAAUGGGAUUUGUGAGAGUUCAGCACUUCUGUUAACACUUCAUGUGGUGCUUUGACUUUAUUCUUUGGUUUCCUAAUCUCUGCAUCCUUAUGUUUAACAGUAAUCUGUUUCCCAUUCACACCUGUUGCCUUGUAUUGAAGCCAUUAGUGAAGCCCUCAGACCGUUGCCAGAGGCACUUUGUCUGGGCUUGGAUGAAGGAUGCUCACUCCACAACACCAAAGGGAAGCUUGGAGUUGGGAAAUGUUGACUUUGCAUCAAUCCACAAUGAUACCUCAGCUUUGUCUUUGCGAUAUUGGUCCCAGAAAGCAAGAUGUCUUCAUGAUUGUUUUUUCCAUGUUCCCUGUUGCACUAAUCUGCAUUUCCAAUGGGCCAUUUCUACUGGCUCCUUCCUUUGUUUUUGCAAUAAAGUAUUCAACAUAUCAUACAACAA